rnacentral:rRNA from 1 species
CCUACGGGAGGCAGCAGUGAGGAAUAUUGGUCAAUGGCCGUAAGGCUGAACCAGCCAAGUCGCGUGAAGGAAGAAGGAUCUAUGGUUUGUAAACUUCUUUUAUAGGGGAAUAAAGGUAUCCACGUGUGGAUAUUUGCAUGUACCCUAUGAAUAAGCAUCGGCUAACUCCGUGCCAGCAGCCGCGGUAAUACGGAGGAUGCGAGCGUUAUCCGGAUUUAUUGGGUUUAAAGGGUGCGCAGGCGGAGGUGCAAGUCAGCGGUCAAAUUGCGGGGCUCAACCCCGUACUGCCGUUGAAACUGCAUCCCUUGAGUGCGCGAGAAGUAUGCGGAAUGCGUGGUGUAGCGGUGAAAUGCAUAGAUAUCACGCAGAACUCCGAUUGCGAAGGCAGCAUACCGGCGCGCAACUGACGCUCAUGCACGAAAGCGUGGGUAUCGAACAGGAUUAGAUACCCGAGUAGUC